GGGCUUUUCAAUCUGCGGCUUCACUCGCUGCUGCUGCUGCUGCUGCGAGAACUGAGGGAGGAUCGGCUCUGUUCAUUCAACAAACGUUCAUUGAGCUUGAGCUCUGCUCGGCUCCCUGCUUAGGCGCGGGGUUCUGGUGGCUUGGGAUCCGAACCCUGUCCUCACUCGUUAUUGGAAGAAUUCCAACCAAACAAGGAAGAAGACGAGCCGUCGUCUGAUCACUAUGCAAAGGCACUUUCUUGGCCCUUUGUAGUCUCUCUGACCUUUGCCCCUCAUUCUGCAAGCGCUUCACCACCCCAGAACAGAUUUCUACCUCCAUCUGCAGCGAUGAGUUACAUCCCACACACCAAGACCUCCGGAGGCCUCCCAGGAUGGUGGGCUUUGGGGGAAACUGGGACUUGUACACAGAAGCUGCAGGCCGGGCCACACCUGGCGGGUGGCAGGCGGAGAGCGCAGCGCCCCUCCCGGUGGGGAUGGGGCCGAGCCUGCUCCGCCGGGCUGGGGGCCGUGAGACACCGGAACGCAGGGGCGAGAGGGCAGAGGGAUGCGCAAACGCGCCAC